CCUACGGGAGGCAGCAGUGGGGGAUAGUGGACAAUGGGGGGAACCCUGAUCCAGCGACGCCGCGUGAGUGAAGAAGGAUCUCGGUAUGUAAAGCUCUAUCAGCAGGGAAGAAGAAAGGACGGGACCUGAGUAAGAAGCCCAGGCUAACGACGUGCCAGCAGCCGCGGUAAUACGUAGGGGGCAAGCGGUAUCCGGAAUUACUGGGUGUAAAGGGAGCGUAGACGGUGAUGUAAGUCUGGAGUGAAAGGCGCGGGCCCAACCCCCGGACUGCUCUGGAAACUAUGUGACUGGAGUGCAGGCGAGUUGAUCGUACUUCCUAGUGUAGCGGUGAAAUGCGUAGAUAUUAGGCGGAACACCAGUGGCGACGGCGGCUCACUGGACUGUACCUGCCGUUGAGGCUC
rnacentral:rRNA from 1 species